rfam:Spirochaetes bacterium RBG_16_67_19 RBG_16_scaffold_13739, whole genome shotgun sequence.
GGGGGCGUGGCGAAGUCUGGUUAUCGCGCCGGCCUGUCAAGCCGGAGACCGCGGGUUCAAACCCCGUCGCUCCCG